GACAGCAGUAGCCACGGUAAUACGUAGGUCCCGAGCGUUGUCCGGAUUUAUUGGGCGUAAAGCGAGCGCAGGCGGUUAGAUAAGUCUGAAGUUAAAGGCUGUGGCUUAACCAUAGUACGCUUUGGAAACUGUUUAACUUGAGUGCAAGAGGGGAGAGUGGAAUUCCAUGUGUAGCGGUGAAAUGCGUAGAUAUAUGGAGGAACACCGGUGGCGAAAGCGGCUCUCUGGCUUGUAACUGACGCUGAGGCUCGAAAGCGUGGGGAGCAAACAGGAUUAGAUACCCGCGUAGUCCCUGUCUCUUAUACA
rnacentral:rRNA from 1 species